rnacentral:rRNA from 1 species
AACGAACGCUGGCGGCAGGCUUAACACAUGCAAGUCGAACGAGAUCUUCGGAUCUAGUGGCAGACGGGUGAGGAACACGUGGGAACAUCCCUUUCAGUUCGGAAUAACGUUGGGAAACUAACGCUAAUACCGGAUACGUCCUUCGGGAGAAAGAUUUAUCGCUGAAAGAUUGGCCCGCGUCUGAUUAGCUAGUUGGUGAGGUAACGGCCCACCAAGGCUACGAUCAGUAGCUGAUCUGAGAGGAUGAUCAGCCACAUUGGGACUGAGACACGGCCCAAACUCCUGCGGGAGGCAGCAUUGGGGAAUAUUGGACAAUGGGCGCAAGCCUGUUCCAGCCAUGCCGCGUGAGUCAUGACGGCCUUCGGGUUGUAAAGCUCUUUUGUCCGGGAAGAUAAUGACUGUACCGGAAGAAUAAGCCCCGGCAAACUUCGUGCCAGCAGCCGCCGUAA